rnacentral:rRNA from 1 species
GACGAACGCUGGCGGCGUGCCUAAUACAUGCAAGUCGAACGAGAGCGACCGGUGCUUGCACUGGUCAAUCUAGUGGCGAACGGGUGAGUAACACGUGGGUAACCUGCCCAUCAGAGGGGGAUAACAUCCGGAAACGGAUGCUAAAACCGCAUAGGUCUUCGAACCGCAUGGUUUGAAGAGGAAAAGAGGCGCAAGCUUCUGCUGAUGGAUGGACCCGCGGUGCAUUAGCUAGUUGGUGAGGUAACGGCUCACCAAGGCCGUGAUGCAUAGCCGACCUGAGAGGGUGAUCGGCCACAUUGGGACUGAGACACGGCCCAAACUCCUACGGGAGGCAGCAGUAGGGAAUCUUCCGCAAUGGAUGCAAGUCUGACGGAGCAACGCCGCGUGAGUGAAGAAGGUUUUCGGAUCGUAAAACUCUGUUGUUAGAGAAGAACAAGUGCUAGAGUAACUGUUAGCGCCUUGACGGUAGCUAACCAGAAAGCCACGGCUAACUACGUG